UCUUCUUAAAAAAAUUGUCAGAGUUUAUCAUCAAGAGUUCAUCAGCAAUAUCACAAUUCAAAAAAUGCGAUGGAAAUCACUUAUCUUUGCAUUAACCAGACGUUUGAAUUUUACAAAGAUCGCGUUAAUCAUCGCAGUUAUUCUAUUAUUCAGGCAUGCAUUGUUGUACUUUAUAAUAUUGACUUUGAUGUUAUGAUUCAUCAAUGUUGUUGGUUAUUUUUUGUCUAUUAAAUUAUUUUUCUUAGAGAAUCAUUUCUACAUUGUGAAUGGUUGGAUGUGUCAUUGGAUUUCAAAGUCAUACUCUGUCUGUUUGAUUUCUCACAAGUGGAACUGCAAUCAUUCGAUGAAAUAUGUGGAAAUAUUCUUUGACUCAUUCUAUGUAUCCGGACGGUUCAUAACUUUGAACACUUUAUUAUUGUACAUGUUGAAGAAGACGCAGAUAACUUUUGUUUAAUUAUGCCACAAAAAUCGAAUAGGUAAUAGAUUUUCUACCCAAUUGUGGAUAGCAGAAGCAUUCGAAAGAAGGAGUUGAACAAACAAAAAAAAAAGAAAUAGUGAGAAUUUUCAGGAAAUCCUUUUUUUGGGUUCUUGGAAUUUGGAAUGAAUUAGAAGCAAUAUUCCAAUGCAGCAGCUACAGCUUUGUACAACUACCUGGGUAAUGCCAGCCCUGCUCAUGAUAUGGGCGACAUGCUUUCAUUACUAAGUUUAUUUCUGCACAUCGAAAUAUUUGUCCUCUGGAACUCUAAUUUUGACUAUCUUCUUUAUAUCAAAAUUAGUUUUUCAUAAGAGGAAUACAUAUAGUGGAAGAUAGAAAGUCGGAGGCAUUACAACAGAAAAUUGAUCAUGCUUACUUAAUUUCAAAGGUUGUUGUAGGAAGGAAGUUCGGGGCACUGCAAAUACCCCACAACCAGAUAUAGCAAGCAUGCAGAAGAGAGUGUCUGUGUCCUCGGCAGUUAGCUUGCAGAAGUAAGUCAAUUUUACUCUUCUUUUACUAAUUUAGAUUAUUUCUUUCCAGAUCAUGACUUUUUUAUAGGUAUUAUAUAUGGUUUUUUUUCAUAUCUUCCGUAUUGUUAGAUUAGAGGGAUAGCAUUAACAUUUUAUGGUUUCUAGGAGCUAUUGAUAGGUAGGAAGCUUUAUCCCACGCUAUGACAUAUAAAUAACAAUGUGUUGGUUUACAUAGAGGCAAAUUUACGAGUAAAUUUAAUUAAUGGCCAUUUAUUGUUGUGUUCAUUAAACAAAAGUCACUUUUUUAUUACAUAAAAGUCAUUUUUGUUUGCUUGUUAUCACAAAAAGAACUUUGGCCGAAUCUCAUAGAACUUCCACCUUGAAAAGUGAUGUGACGUUCUUAAUUAGUGCAUUUGCUUAAAUAAAUAGGAUUAAUGUACUAAACUACAAUAUCGAACUCUGAUGUAUCUGGAUCAUUCCAACUUCCCCUUCAAUGGCUCCCCACAUGACUACUAAAUUGGACAGAAGAUUUAGAGUGUUACUGAAGGUAUGCAGUCUUUCACUUUAAUAUUUAAAAACACAUUAUUUACAUAUAAUGAUAUUCCUUUUAACGCUAAAAGAUAGAUACAUAUUGACAUAGAUAAUUUUUAUUUCUAUGCUGUUGGUCAGUUAGGCAAGAAACUAACUGUUUGCAAAAUACCUGAAUAAAAUGAUUUCACCUUCAUAAAAAGUUCAUAAGUGUCUUGUUUGAUUUUAAUAUAUUAAAUUAAUACUACUCUACUAUUUUAAAUAUUGAUGUAUUAGUUGGCAUCAUUACACAUCCUAUCUUGUGUUGAGUUGAAAUCAUGUAGAUCCUACAUAUUAUUAACAAGGGAUUGAAGAGGAAAUUAGAAAUAAAGGCUCAAAUAAUUCAUAAUUGAUAGAGAAAUUCAAGAAAGCCAAAGAUAUUGUAUCAUUUCUCCCUUUUUCAUUGUAUAUUCUUUUUUUUAAAAAAAAUGAUUCAACUUUAUUUUACAUUUCUAUGAGGGAUAUCAAUGUCUACAACAGAUUAACCAAACGGAUGAAAGGAACAUACACUAGGAAUAUUAUCCAAAAAAGGGUAUAAGAUUCAGGCUACAUCUAAUCAUCUUGAUCUUGGCAAACAAGAAUGUGUACAUUCACGUCAUGGCUCCUUUAGUUUUGCGCUCAGGUAAGACUGUUAGAUAUUUCAUUCCUGAAUAUCCUUUAGCAACAAAUACGAUACUUUAUUAAGUAUCAUAUAUUUAUUAAAAGUUUGGACGAUUUUACAUUUGAAUAUUGUUAAUUUUUUUCCUUUAUUUAAUAUUGCAUUCAAUUUUUUCUAUUUUGCAUUAAGUCACAUAAUUAGUAAUAUAACACCGAUAAACAAAUGUUAACAUGAUGAUAAAGUAACAUUAAUAGAAUAGAAAAUUGACAAUCAUGAAUGUCAGAAAGUUGUUUAAAUAAAAAGAACAAGAAUGUUAGUUCAGGAAUGUCAAAAAAUAGUCUUUUUAAGAAGAAAUAAACUCAAAAAUUUGAAAAAGAAAGAGUUACAACGGUGAUCCGACCUAGAGUUUAUUUGGCUCACAUUUUAUACAAUCAGAAAAAGUUUUAAAUUUGUUUGAAUAAACAACUCUGAGAAAGAAUCUAGCUAUAAUUGAGUUUGUGUGGUAUCAAACCCUAAAUUCAUGGUGAAAAAAUGAUACAAGAACAAUCAAGAACCCACAAAACAAACACCCAAAACAGUACCAUUUGUAGGGGGUGCGGAUUAG